GAUGAACGCUGGCGGCGUGCUUAACACAUGCAAGUCGAACGGAAAGGCCCAAGCUUGCUUGGGUACUCGAGUGGCGAACGGGUGAGUAACACGUGGGUGAUCUGCCCUGCACUUCGGGAUAAGCCUGGGAAACUGGGUCUAAUACCGGAUAGGACCACUUCUUGGAUGUUGUGGUGGAAAGUUUUUUCGGUGUGGGAUGAGCUCGCGGCCUAUCAGCUUGUUGGGGGGGUAAUGGCCUACCAAGGCGUCGACGGGUAGCCGGCCUGAGAGGGUGUACGGCCACAUUGGGACUGAGAGACGGCCCAGACUCCUACGGGAGGCAGCAGGGGGGAAGAUUGAACAAUGGGCGCAAGCCUGAUGCAGAGACGCCGCGGGGGGGAUGACGGCCUUCGGGUUGAAAACUCCUUUCGCUAGGGACGAAGCGUUUUGUGACGGUACCUGGAGAAGAAGCACCGGCUAACUACGUG
rnacentral:rRNA from 1 species